rnacentral:rRNA from 1 species
GACGAACGCUGGCGGCGUGCUUAACACAUGCAAGUCGAACGGAAAGGCCCUGCUUUUGUGGGGUGCUCGAGUGGCGAACGGGUGAGUAACACGUGAGUAACCUGCCCUUGACUUUGGGAUAACUUCAGGAAACUGGGGCUAAUACCGGAUAGGAGCUCCUGCUGCAUGGUGGGGGUUGGAAAGUUUCGGCGGUUGGGGAUGGACUCGCGGCUUAUCAGCUUGUUGGUGGGGUAGUGGCUUACCAAGGCUUUGACGGGUAGCCGGCCUGAGAGGGUGACCGGCAACAUUGGGACUGAGAUACGGCCCAGACUCCUACGGGAGGCAGCAGUGGGGAAUAUUGCACAAUGGGCGGAAGCCGGAUGCAGCAACGCCGCGUGCGGGAUGACGGCCUUCGGGUUGUAAACCGCUUUCGCCUGUGACGAAGCGUGAGUGACGGUAAUGGGUAAAGAAGCACCGGCUAACUACGU